AACGAACGCAGGCGGCAGGCUUAACACAUGCAAGUCGAACGGUUGUAGCAAUACAGCAGUGGCAGACGGGUGAGUAACACGUGGGAACCUUCCUAGGGGUACGGAACAACUCAGGGAAACUUGAGCUAAUACCGUAUACGUCCGAGAGGAGAAAGAUUUAUCGCCCUUAGACGGGCCCGCGUCGGAUUAGCUAGUUGGUGGGGUAACGGCCUACCAAGGCGACGAUCCGUAGCUGAUCUUAGAGGAUGAUCAGCCACACUGGGACUGAGACACGGCCCAGACUCCUACGGGAGGCAGCAGUGGGGAAUCUUGGACAAUGGGCGCAAGCCUGAUCCAGCCAUGCCGCGUGAGUGAAGAAGGUCUUCGGAUUGUAAAGCUCUUUUACCAGGGACGAUAAUGACGGUACCUGGAGAAUAAGCCCCGGCAAACUUCGUGCCAGCAGCCGCCGUAAUAC
rnacentral:rRNA from 1 species